rnacentral:RNase_P_RNA from 1 species
CAAGUUGGCCGGGUGAUCGCGUCUUCCCCCGUUGGAAGAUGAGGAAAGUCCGCGCUCCACAGGGCACGGCGCUGGCUAACAGCCAGGCGGGGCGACCUGACGGCAUAGUGCAACAGAGAAGCAUAUUGCCUCCCUGCAAAGGGGGGCGAGGGUGAAACGGCGCGGUAAGAGCGCACCGGCGUUGAUGGGAACAUCAGCGGCCAGGCAAACCCCACCGGGAGCAAGACCAAGCAGGAACAAGGGGCGGCUCGUCCCGUUUGAGUUCCGGGUAGGUUGCUUGAGGCGUCGGGUAACCGGCGUCCUAGAGAGAUGAUCACCGCCCGCCGGGCAUACCGGCGGGUACAAAACGCGGCUUACAGGCGAACUUGAGUC